UGGGGAAUCUUGCACAAUGGGGGCAACCCUGAUGCAGCGACGCCGCGUGAGCGAUGAAGCCCUUCGGGGCGUAAAGCUCUUUCGACCGGAACGAUAAUGACGGUAACGGGAGAAGAAGCUGCGGCUAACUACGUGCCAGAAGCCGCGGUAAUACGUAGGCAGCAAGCGUUGUUCGGAGUUACUGGGCGUAAAGAGUGCGUAGGCGGUUUUCUAAGUUGGGUGUGAAAUCUCCCGGCUUAACUGGGAGGGUGCGCCGAAGACUGGGAAGCUGGAGUGUGGGAAAGGCAGGCGGAAUUCCUGGUGUAGCGAUGAAAUGCGUAGAUAUCAGGAGGAACACCGGCGGUGUAGACGGCUUUCUAGACCAUAACUGACGCUGAGGCACGGAAGCGUGGGUAGCAAACA
rnacentral:rRNA from 1 species